UACGGAGGGUGCAAACGUUGAUCGGAAUCAUUGGGCGUAAAGCGUACGUAGGCGGACCGAUAAGUCGGAUGUGAAAGCCCUCGGCUUAACCGAGGAAGUGCAUUCGAAACUGACGGUCUUGAGUAUGGAAGAGGGUCGCGGAAUUCCCGGUGUAGAGGUGAAAUUCGUAGAUAUCGGGAGGAACACCAGUGGCGAAGGCGGCGACCUGGGCCAAUACUGACGCUGAGGUGCGAAAGCGUGGGGAGCAAACAGG
rnacentral:rRNA from 1 species